rnacentral:rRNA from 1 species
AGAGUUUGAUCCUGGCUCAGGACGAACGCUGGCGGCGCGCCUAACACAUGCAAGUCGAACGGAGUUAAGAGGAGCUUGCUUUUCUUAACUUAGUGGCGAACGGGUGAGUAACGCGUGAGUAACCUGCCCUGGAGUGGGGGACAACAGUUGGAAACGACUGCUAAUACCGCAUAAGCCCACGGAUUCGCAUGGAUCUGCGGGAAAAGGAUUUAUUCGCUUCAGGAUGGACUCGCGUCCAAUUAGCUAGUUGGUGAGGUAACGGCCCACCAAGGCGACGAUUGGUAGCCGGACUGAGAGGUUGAACGGCCACAUUGGGACUGAGACACGGCCCAGACUCCUACGGGAGGCAGCAGUGGGGGAUAUUGCACAAUGGGGGAAACCCUGAUGCAGCGACGCCGCGUGGAGGAAGAAGGUUUUCGGAUUGUAAACUCCUGUCGUUAGGGACGAUAAUGACGGUACCUAACAAGAAAGCACCGGCUAACUACGUGCCAGCAGCCGCGGUAAAACGUAGGGUGCAAGCGUUGUCCGGAAUUACUGGGUGUAAAGGGAGCGCAGGCGGACCGGCAAGUUGGAAGUGAAAACUAUGGGCUCAACCCAUAAAUUGCUUUCAAAACUGCUGGCCUUGAGUAGUGCAGAGGUAGGUGGAAUUCCCGGUGUAGCGGUGGAAUGCGUAGAUAUCGGGAGGAACACCAGUGGCGAAGGCGACCUACUGGGCACCAACUGACGCUGAGGCUCGAAAGCAUGGGUAGCAAACAGGAUUAGAUACCCUGGUAGUCCAUGCCGUAAACGAUGAUUACUAGGUGUUGGAGGAUUGACCCCUUCAGUGCCGCAGUUAACACAAUAAGUAAUCCACCUGGGGAGUACGACCGCAAGGUUGAAACUCAAAGGAAUUGACGGGGGCCCGCACAAGCAGUGGAGUAUGUGGUUUAAUUCGAAGCAACGCGAAGAACCUUACCAGGUCUUGACAUCCAACUAACGAAGUAGAGAUACAUUAGGUGCCCUUCGGGGAAAGUUGAGACAGGUGGUGCAUGGUUGUCGUCAGCUCGUGUCGUGAGAUGUUGGGUUAAGU